rnacentral:rRNA from 1 species
UACGUAGGGUGCGAGCGUUAAUCGGAAUUACUGGGCGUAAAGCGUGCGCAGGCGGUUUCUGAAGUCCGUUGUGAAAGCCCCGGGCUUAACCUGGGAAUGGCAGGGGAAACUAGGAGACUUGAAUCUGGCAGAGGGGGGUGGAAUGCCACGUGUAGCAGUGAAAUGCGUAGAGAUGGGGCGGAACACCGAUGGCGAAGGCAGCCCCCUGGGUCAAGAUUGACGCUCAGGCACGAAAGCGUGGGGAGCAAACAGG